UACGUAGGGUGCAAGCGUUAUCCGGAUUCACUGGGUUUAAAGGGUGCGUAGGCGGAUAGGUAAGUCCGUGGUGAAAUCUCCCGACUUAAUCGGGAAACUGCCGUGGAUACUAUCUAUCUUGAAUGACGUGGAGGUUAGCGGAAUAUGUCAUGUAGCGGUGAAAUGCUUAGAUAUGACAUAGAACACCAAUUGCGAAGGCAGCUAACUACGCGUUAAUUGACGCUGAUGCACGAAAGCGUGGGGAUCAAACAGG
rnacentral:rRNA from 1 species